AUUCCAUGCCUUGGGGUGCUAUUGAAUCUACACAAAACAUCUUGUAGAAGUAAGUAGCCAUGUUUACCUUGUUCUCUUUUACUCCUCCAUUUCAGCUCAUUCAUCUUCUCUUUUGUUAUUCCUAGUUGUGCUCUCUGGAGAAUGGGAACUACAACUCUUUUAUUUUUUGCUCUGUUGAGGGUUCUAGGCCCCUGAAUAUAAUUACAUUUCAGAGUAAGAUUAAAACCCAACUUUUGGUUUUCUUUCCAUUCUUGAAUUAAUCUACUAAUCCCCUUAUUUUUGUAGUUACGGUCAGUAUGGAGAUAAUGGGAUGCUCGGAACCACAAGUAAUCGGAUUGUAAUUUCCUAUUAAUUUCAUAACUCCCAAAUAACUCUCCCAUUUUGCUGCGAGUCCUUUUUGUAGACUAUAAUAGAAUAGGCUAGAUAGUUUUUGCACAGUUUUUAUUGCCUCUAUGGCCUGUACACACUUGCAUGUGAAUAAUUUAAGCUUUACCAUUUCCAGCCCC
rnacentral:lncRNA from 1 species